UACGGGGGGGGGCAAGCGUUGUUCGGAAUUACUGGGCGUAAAGGGCUCGUAGGCGGCCAACUAAGUCAGACGUGAAAUCCCUCGGCUUAACCGGGGAAUGGCGUCUGAUACUGGAUGGCUCGAGUUUGGGAGAGGGAUGCGGAAUUCCAGGUGUAGCGGUGAAAUGCGUAGAUAUCUGGAGGAACACCGGUGGCGAAGGCGGCAUCCUGGACCAACACUGACGCUGAUGAGCGAAAGCCAGGGGAGCAAACGGG
rnacentral:rRNA from 1 species